AAUUUUGUUAGUUAAUUUUUAAAAAAAUUAUGAAGAAAAGACUGGUUUUCAGCUUGAAGUAAUUUACUGACGCUUUAUAAACUCAUCAAAUGUCACCCUGGCGGGGUUUGCGGGGUUUCUUGUUUGCUGAGUGGCCUUUGCUCUUAGCUGCAUAUCUCUGAGAUUAAACCUGGGUUUGUUUCCUGCCAGAGACAUCAUGGAGCUUCCCGCAUGAGUGCCACUGUGAGCCACUGGAGGUCUGCAGUGCCAGAGCUGAGGGCCCUGGGAACCCAAGCAGCCUUUUCAGGGUCCCACGGAGGCCAUCAAACAGCACGGCCAUGGACCAGGGCCCAUGGAGGCCCAGGAUGGAGAUGGCUCAGAUGUUCUAGCUCUUUGGUUUCAAGAACACUGACUGACUGCUGCUCCCUGUUGAGAGCUCAGCAUGUCAAGCCUGGCUGCACAGAAGAAUCCCUGAAGAAGGUUAAAAUGAGCAUAUUGGGCUUCACUCAGAGAAAUCUAAUUUAAGAGGGUUUGCAUAGGUCUUGAAGGCAACUGUUUCAAAGCUUUGAAGGUGGGAACCACUAUUGCAGACCUAAUCUCUGCCAUAGGCUAUAUCAUUGUCACAGACUAGAUCUCAGCUACACAUGGAUCACUACUUCAGGCUGCAACAUUGUCACAGACUAGGUUACAUCCUCAGAUUAUGUUACUGCCUCUGACCACAUCACUGUGUGUAUCAGUCCACUUUGCACUACCAUAACACAGUACCUGAGGCAAGCUAUUUCACAAAGAAAAUAAUUUUCUUUUUUAGCUCACAGUCUUGAAGGCUAAAAGUCAAAAAGACCAGGCAGCCCCAUUGGUUUGGCACCUGGUGGAUGACAUCAUGGUGAGUGUUUGCAAGAGGGAGAGAUCACACUGGAAACCGGAGAAGUGGCUCAGAGGCCAGACUAGGUCUUCUAACAACCCAGUUUCUCAAACACUAACUCAGAGACCCAGGAGAACUACUUUAAUCUCCCUUGAGAGAAGCAUUCCCAGUGACUGAUCCCCCCUUACACCUCAAAAUUGGCAAGAGUUAGGACAAGCUCCCAACACACGAAUCCUUGGGGAACAAAUUCAAAUCAUAUCCAAGCCACAGCUUGUCUCAGACUUAAUUACCUCCUGAGUCUGGAUCCCUGCCUCACACUAGGUCACCACCUUCAGACUAGUCAGCACCCGAGACUGGAUCACUACCCUAGAAGUUUCAGUGCUUUUCAACCGGCACUUCAUUCGAAUUACUCUGAAGGCCACUGGGUUGGGAAGAAGCAGCGGAAGAGUUCAGCGCAUAGCCCCUUCCAGCUUGGAAAGGGUGUGCAUAGUGUACCAUGCACAGCACCAAGUUCCUGUACAAACAGAACCCCACUGUUACGAGUCGGUCUGAUAUGCGGUGCAGAGUCGGGCAGAAGAGAGCUUAGUGUCUCAGGAAAUUGCUGGACUUUUCAAAAGGUCAGCAUGCAGAGUUUUAGCACCAAAGUUAAGGCCUGAAGGAAAUCAGGUCAUUGUCUCCGCCAUGGUGACUGGAAGUGUGAAAACCACUGGUCGCACUGCAGUGUGGUCCAGAUGGGGUCCCUUCUGGAUCCUGCUCCUCCUGGCUUGAGGAGCUUACUGUUUCUUCGAAGAGUAGGACCAGAGCAAAUACGUACUCCUGGCUCUGAGAAAUGGCUUGGUGACAGAUCUGAGGGAGAAUAGUCACACUGAGUUCUACUUUGUACCUCGAAUAUAUUUCAAGCAUGUGGUUAAGAUGCAAGCAAUGUGGGAUUUCGAAGAUAAGAAACCUAUUUCUCCUUUCCAACAAAAGUGAUGUGUAAGAACCUGCCUAGCCUAGUGUAAGAACCUGAAAGAGUAAAUAAAACCCAAAAUGUAUAAUAGAUAUUAUGAAAGGGAAAGAAAUUGCUCAAAGGAAGCAACAACUGGGAUGAGGGAAAGGAAAAAAAGAAAGAAAGAAGCAAGGUAAAAAAGAUAGAUAAAUAGAUAGAUGAUAGCUGGGAUAACUGUAGUGCUGAUGUCUAAUGGUUUAUUGAAAGAAACAGUUAUGUUUAGUUUUUUUGACCUAUUUUGCGUGCUUAUAUCUGGUAAUCUGAACAACUAAUUUGAACACAACAAUAUGUAAUAUAACAACCAUUGGUGAAUUCCUACCAUCUUGUUUAGUGAAGCUCUGUAGCAUUUCUAAUAUUUUUUAAACUAUUUUUUAUUCUCUUUAAUCAGUCUUGCAUUCUUACAUCUGGUAACGUGAGCAACUUCAUUGAAGAUACCAAUAUGUAAUAUAACAACCACUGUUAAUUCCUAUCAUUUUGUUUUGAAACCCUGUAUCAUUUUUAUUGUUUUUGCUUUGCUUUCCUUUGUUUUUGUUAUUUUUUUUUAAUUCUCUUUAAAAUAAAGAAAAUAAUGCUUAUUGCAGGUCCUUGUCAUUCUCCAAGAAUGA
rnacentral:lncRNA from 1 species